CAAAGGUGUAAUGAAUAACAGUCUUGUCAGAAAGAUCAGAGGACUUGGUAUUUUUCAGAUCACUCAAAAGGUAUGACUUUGACACUGCAUUGACUGGAUUUUUCAUUUUCUGUGACCUGUAUGUGUACAAGUUAUAGCAAUCUUUUCUCUUUCAGCUAUGUGACCUGUAUCUAAAAAAAGUCCCUGCUCACACUUUUUGAAAGUGGUGAGACUAUGGGGAAUGAGAUGAGUCUGAAGGCUAAGAAAGCCUAAGGGGCUUUGGGAUAGAUUGGUGGCACUACACAGGUUGAGUUGUUUCAGCCAUGAUGGGAUGGUUGUUGCCUCUUGUAUGCCAAGAUAAGGUUCUGAGGUAGUGAGGGAUGCAGCCUCUCACUAUUAUCAUUAGUUGACAGACUAUUGUUCUCUGUCAGGAAAAGAAUUAUCAUAGGCUGAAAAUUUAUUUGGCCAAGGCCAAGAAUCAAUCACUUUUGCAGACA
rnacentral:lncRNA from 1 species